GGGGAUUUAGCUCAGCGGUAGAGCGCUUGCCUAGCGAGCACAAGGCCCUGGGUUCGCUCCCCAGCUCCA
rnacentral:tRNA from 1 species